rnacentral:rRNA from 1 species
AGCAGCCGCGGUAAUUCCAGCUCCAAUAGCGUAUAUUAAAGUUGUUGCAGUUAAAAAGCUCGUAGUUGAAUUUCGGGGUCAGUAGGUUGGUCAUGCCUCCGGUAUGUACUGGUCUCACUGAUUCCUCCUUCCUGAUGAGCCGUAAUGCCAUUAAUUUGGUGUUGCGGGGAAUCUGGACUGUUACUUUGAAAAAAUUAGAGUGUUUAAAGCAAGCUAACGCUUGAAUACAUUAGCAUGGAAUAAUGGAAUAGGACGUUCGAUCCUAUUUUGUUGGUUUCUAGGAUUGACGUAAUGAUUAAUAGGGAUAGUUGGGGGCAUUAGUAUUCAAUUGUCAGAAGUGAAAUUCUUGGAUUUAUUGAAGACUAACUACUGCGAAAGCAUUUGCCAAGGAUGUUUUCAUUAAUCAAGAACGAAAGUUAGGGGAUCGAAGACGAUCAAAUACCGUCGUAGUCUUAACCAUAAACUAUGCCGACUAGGGAUCGGAUGAUGUUAAUUUUUAAUGACUCAUUCGGCGCCUUAA